rnacentral:rRNA from 1 species
CACGUAGGGUGCGAGCGUUGUCCGGAAUUAUUGGGCGUAAAGAGCUCGUAGGCGGUGUGUCGCGUCGGCCGUGAAAACCUGCAGCUUAACUGUGGGCUUGCGGUCGAUACGGGCAUCACUGGAGUUCGGCAGGGGAGACUGGAAUUCCUGGUGUAGCGGUGAAAUGCGCAGAUAUCAGGAGGAACACCGGUGGCGAAGGCGGGUCUCUGGGCCGUAACUGGACGCU